UAUCCAUACAAUGGAGUACAAUGCAGCAUCAAAAAGAAACACACCGUAGACACCUGCAACAACUUGGAUUAAUCUCAGAGGGAUUAUGGUGCUGGCCAUGCAGGGACUUGGUCUCUGAAUGAGAUGAAGAGCCAUUAGCCUAUGAGCAGAGGAGCAGCAUAACAGGACUUCCGUUUUCAAGACACCUCUUUGGCUGUGAUGUUAGGAAUGAGGUAGAAACAGGGAGACCAGUUAGAAGGUUGUCACCAUAAUCAAGGUACCAGCAUGGGAGGGGUGAAAAGCAAUCAGCCUCCGGAUAUACUUUAAAGAGAGAAGAAACGGAAGAAUCAUCCAUGGAGUUAAGGUGAAAGCAGCACAAAUAGAGGAAAGUUUUAAAAAAAUUGUUCACUAGGGAGGUAUUUCCUGAAUAGAACUUCCUAACUGCAGCUACAGACCAUGUUAAAAGUGAUUGAUUUGCCUUAGCUACUGGCACAAAAUAUGGAGAGCAUUUCAAAAAGGUUCUUUAUAGUAAAACUUUGUUUUUCCUCUA